UCUAUCCAUUGGAUCAUCUCCAUCACAUAAUGGCACCCCCGUAACAGACUUCCGUCAUCCUGGACAAGAGUCUAAACCUGUUCCUGGUGUACCUGAAGCUGUUGACCUCCUCGGUAGUUUGUCACCAGCCGAGUCUAAACCCACACCAAACAGGACAGC